GCCAAAACAAGGGGCCUCCCAGACA
rnacentral:piRNA from 1 species